AGGGAAUCUUCCGCAAUGGGCGAAAGCCUGACGGAGCAACGCCGCGUGAGUGAUGAAGGUCUUCGGAUCGUAAAACUCUGUUAUUAGGGAAGAACAAAUGUGUAAGUAACUAUGCACGUCUUGACGGUACCUAAUCAGAAAGCCACGGCUAACUACGUGCCAGCAGCCGCGGUAAUACGUAGGUGGCAAGCGUUAUCCGGAAUUAUUGGGCGUAAAGCGCGCGUAGGCGGUUUUUUAAGUCUGAUGUGAAAGCCCACGGCUCAACCGUGGAGGGUCAUUGGAAACUGGAAAACUUGAGUGCAGAAGAGGAAAGUGGAAUUCCAUGUGUAGCGGUGAAAUGCGCAGAGAUAUGGAGGAACACCAGUGGCGAAGGCGACUUUCUGGUCUGUAACUGACGCUGAUGUGCGAAAGCGUGGGGAUCAAACAGGAUUAGAUACCCUGGUAGUCCACGCCGUAAACGAUGAGUGCUAAGUGUUAGGGGGUUUCCGCCCCUUAGUGCUGCAGCUAACGCAUUAAGCACUCCGCCUGGGGAGUACGACCGCGAGGUUG
rnacentral:rRNA from 1 species